AUUCUAAUAGCUUAUUUAGAGCAUAAUAUUGAAGAUAUUAAGGAAAUUUUUAUUUUAGAAUA
rnacentral:tRNA from 1 species